GCAGUCGAGGGGUAUAGUAGCAAUACUAGAGACCGGCGCACGGGUGCGUAGCGCGUAUGCAAUCUACCUUUUACAGAGGGAUAGCCCAGAGAAAUUUGGAUUAAUACCUCAUAGCAUGCAGAGUUGGCAUCAACACUGCAUUAAAGUCACAACGGUAAAAGAUGAGCAUGCGUCCCAUUAGCUAGUUGGUAAGGUAACGGCUUACCAAGGCUACGAUGGGUAGGGGUCCUGAGAGGGAGAUCCCCCACACUGGUACUGAGACACGGACCAGACUCCUACGGGAGGCAGCAGUGAGGAAUAUUGGUCAAUGGGCGCAAGCCUGAACCAGCCAUGCCGCGUGCAGGAUGACGGUCCUAUGGAUUGUAAACUGCUUUUGUACGGGAAGAAACAGCGAUUCGUGAAUCGCCUUGACGGUACCGUAAGAAUAAGGAUCGGCUAACUCCGUGCCAGCAGCCGCGGUAAUACGGAGGAUCCAAGCGUUAUCCGGAAUCAUUGGGUUUAAAGGGUCCGUAGGCGGUUUGGUAAGUCAGUGGUGAAAGCCCAUCGCUCAACGGUGGAACGGCCAUUGAUACUGCCAGACUUGAAUUAUUAGGAAGUAACUAGAAUAUGUAGUGUAGCGGUGAAAUGCUUAGAGAUUACAUGGAAUACCAAUUGCGAAGGCAGGUUACUACUAAUGGAUUGACGCUGAUGGACGAAAGCGUGGGUAGCGAACAGGAUUAGAUACCCUGGUAGUCCACGCCGUAAACGAUGGAUACUAGCUGUUGGGAGCGAUCUCAGUGGCUAAGCGAAAGUGAUAAGUAUCCCACCUGGGGAGUACGUUCGCA
rnacentral:rRNA from 1 species